GGGGAAUAUUGGACAAUGGGCGAAAGCCUGAUCCAGCCAUGCCGCGUGAGUGAUGAAGGCCCUCGGGUCGUAAAGCUCUGUGGAGAGGGAAGAAACCGUUCAGCAUCAGAUCCUGAACGUUGACGGUACCUCUUUAGCAAGCACCGGCUAACCCCGUGCCAGCAGCCGCGGUAAUACGGAGGGUGCAAACGUUGCUCGGAAUCAUUGGGCGUAAAGCGCACGUAGGCGGACCGCUAAGUCGGAUGUGAAAGCCCUCGGCUUAACCGAGGAAGUGCAUUCGAAACUGACGGUCUUGAGUAUGGAAGAGGGUCGCGGAAUUCCCGGUGUAGAGGUGAAAUUCGUAGAUAUCGGGAGGAACACCAGUGGCGAAGGCGGCGACCUGGGCCAAUACUGACGCUGAGGUGCGAAAGCGUGGGGAGCAAA
rnacentral:rRNA from 1 species